rfam:Nocardia sp. NRRL S-836 P437contig2.1, whole genome shotgun sequence.
CUUGAUGGAGCCCAGGUACAGCGGCUCGUCCCGGCCCUGGCCGUAGGUGGCCAGCAGCGCCUGCGCCUC